AGAAGUUUACUCGAUGAUGGAUUUAUGAAGUGCAGUCCCUUUUGAGGUGUCAAUCGCUUGCGGGAUGGGUAGCUACACGUCGCCUGCACGUUUACCUUCUCUCUUGAUGCCCUGUUAGAUAUUGUCUUUUGCUCUGUAAUGUAUAUAAUGAGUUUGAUGGUGGUUCAGUUGUUUGGUCGAGGCUUGUACCUCGUUGCCAGGAUCUUUAUUUUGCUAGUGUGAUAUUCUAUAUCUGUUC